ACUCCUCCAGACUUACCCUUUUGCUUGUCCUCAAGCAAAACAAAGAGUAGUCUUUAUGAAAGAGGUUUGAAAACAGCAAGGAUUCACACAAUUUAAGAACUCACUAUCAUCACCUCUACAAUGUUGCUAGCCACAUCAAAUCAAUUCUAACUUUAGAGGUAUUUUAUAUACCAUAUCCUAGCUUACCAACCAAAUCCAUCUAACCAAGAACUUAGCUAAUAAUGUAUGACUCGCCCCUCUACUGAUCUCAUUUAGCACAUACAUAGAAAGUGUAGGCUUUACAUUGGGAGUAUCGAUCAAAAGACACAUGGACUCUUACUCAAGCAAGUUUCUGAAAACACAUGUAGUCUUAUCUGAUCCCUUUCUUCCCUCUUUCUCUUUCUCUGAAUCUCUAUUCCAAUGAACAAUGAUGGUAUUCAUCUUCUUUUCGAUUUUUCUCUUUUAUAUUUCUCUUCUUUUUUUUAUUGACAAAUUGUAGGCGAAUAAUGGGGUCACAGGAGACACUCCUACCCUUCACUUCCAACGAUGUGCGAUCAUUCCAUUAGAGUAGAAUAAUGAGGUCGCAAGAGACACUCCUACCCCUCUAAACCGCAAGAAAUCAUUUCAAUCUUUUUAUACUUAU
rnacentral:lncRNA from 1 species